AGCGGUGCGGCCCUGCCUAAUAAUGCCAAGUCGAACGAACUCUGGUAUUGAUUGGUGCUUGCAUCAUGAUUUACAUUUGAGUGAGUGGCGAACUGGUGAGUAACACGUGGGAAACCUGCCCAGAAGCGGGGGAUAACACCUGGAAACAGAUGCUAAUACCGCAUAACAACUUGGACCGCAUGGUCCGAGCUUGAAAGAUGGCUUCGGCUAUCACUUUUGGAUGGUCCCGCGGCGUAUUAGCUAGAUGGUGGGGUAACGGCUCACCAUGGCAAUGAUACGUAGCCGACCUGAGAGGGUAAUCGGCCACAUUGGGACUGAGACACGGCCCAAACUCCUACGGGAGGCAGCAGUAGGGAAUCUUCCACAAUGGACGAAAGUCUGAUGGAGCAACGCCGCGUGAGUGAAGAAGGGUUUCGGCUCGUAAAACUCUGUUGUUAACGAAGAACAUAUCUGAGAGUAUCUGUUCAGGUAUUUGACGGUAUUUCACCAGAAAAGCCACGGCUAACUACGUGCCAGCAGCCGCGGUAUACGUAGGUGGCAAGCGUUGUCCCGGAUUUAUUGGGCGUAAAGCUAGCGCAAGCGGUUUUUUUAAGUCUGAUGUGAAAGCCUUUGGCUUCAACGAAGAUGUGCAUCGGUACACUGUGAAACUUGACUGCACAAGAGGACAGUGGGAUCUCCCUGUGUAGCGGUUGAAAGGCGUAAAUAUAUG
rnacentral:rRNA from 2 species